GACCAGUCGCUUAUGCGGGGCUUUCCUUUGUGCUUGAUCUAACCAUGUGGUGGAACGAUGGAAACGGAACAUGGUUCUGUCAAGCACCGCGGAAAGCACCGUGCUCUCCUGCA
rnacentral:pre_miRNA from 1 species